CCCCUGGCGCGGCCUGCUGCGCACCCCUCCCCGGCCUCCCCCAUCGCGUGCCCCUCCAGUGCGGCCUCCCAGCCGCGGGCCGCCCAGCCGCUGCCACGGCCGUCCUCGCCACCGACGCCAUGUUUGGCCACCAACCGUGCGCAUGGGGGCUGCCGGGGGGGUUCUUCCCCCGCCCCAGCCUCGUCCUCACUGCCGCCAACGCCACCACUCCGGCCCCCGACACCACAUCCGUCCUCACCAUGCUGCUGGCGUGCUCCCUGCAUGCGCCGCCGCCAACAAUGCCUCCCCUACCAGCGCCGCCGCGAGAUCCCCUUCUCUGGUGUUAUCCCCGGCGAG
rnacentral:misc_RNA from 1 species